AGACCCACCGGCAGACAGGCGGACCGGGCGCUCGGCUGUCGCUGUUCUCCGCGCGGCGGCUGCGGGGCUUCUGACUUGGAGAACAAUGAAGCGUGAGCUGGAGGGGAGCGAGCGGGCCGCCGGGAGCGCACUGUGUACAAACAGAGGCGGCGUGCGUGUGAGUCUGAGCCUGGCAGGCGCGCUCCCCACUCCCCCGGCGCCCGCCCGCCCUCCGCCCGCCCUGUUAUUCACUCCCCGGGUCUCCCCCUCCUCUCUCUCUCUUUUGCUCUCUCUCUCUGUCUCUCUUUUGCUCUCUCUCUCCUUCCUCCCUCCUCCCCUCCUCUUUCAGCUCCUUCUGCUAUAAGAGAAAAGGGAGACAACUGCAGCCACACCCUAGCACCUAGCACCUGCCACCACCUCUGAAGUUCCUGCAUUGCCUGUACCUUCUCCGCACAUGCUGGAGACUGUGGGGUUAAGAGCUGCACCCUUGCUGCCUGAGAGUCCCUUGGAUUCCAGCACUGACUUUAUAAUUAACCACGUUAAGGAUUCCCCUGAACUUCCUUUCUCAGUAUAACCAGGAACAGAAGUUAAGAGAUUUUGAAAAGUGACUCUUGGGGCACAAAACUGCAUGAGAGACAGAACCCUGCAAAGUGAAUUGCCCCGUAUUUCUCAGGAACUGCAACGUAGUCAGCAACCAGACCCUAAUCAGCUAAGACAGGGCUGCUCUGCUGCUCUGUCUACAAUUUAGUUAGCUCCAGGGCUGGGGAGAGAGGGUUGUGGGCUCAUCUGUUCACGGGGGCAAAAGGGUGGAAGUGAGUAGGAGACAUGCAUCUCGUUAAGCAGGACAUCUGUUUCAGAGAAGAAGUGGGGCAAGUUUGGGAACUGUGCAAGAACAUAAAGGCAAAGACAGACCCUUGAAGCAUCACUAAGGUGGAUCAAAUUUUCUUUCUAUCCGCCAAAAUAAAUGGACUGGUUUUUGCAGUGGAAGUGAUUGAACCAAAAAUACAGCUCAUGGCUUACAAUUGUGCUUUCUUCUCUGUUUUUCGGUUAGAAUGAUUGCUUAUUGUACAUGGAUCCAAUUCCAGCAGUUACAGAGAGGGAGGUAGGGAGAGAGACAAACACAGAGCUAGAGAAAUUGAAAGAGAAACAUUCUCGAAGGCAAAGAGUUGAAAGGUGAAUCUACUAAGAAAAGAAUAACAGAGUGCAAUUAGCCAUGGAACUACAUCUCCAUCUGCCUCCUUUAAAGGAUGAGUCCUUUAAAGAGCCUUUGGAAGGAAUUGGGCCAUGAGAAGAGCCCUCAUGAAUGGGAUUAGUUCCCUUAUAAGAAGAGACACCAAGGAAGUGAUCUUUCUCUGCCCUCUGCUAUGUGAAGACAAGGUCAUCUGCAGUUUUUUGUUGUUGUUGAUGAUCUUCCUGUCAUAGACAAUGCUGUAACAAACAGACUAUCCACAGGUUUUCUACUUUUUUGAGCUAAAUCGUGAUGAAGCAGAUGAUAAUCUGAGGCUCGCCUGCUAUAUUGUGAAAAUCCCUCUGUGCUUGUAAUAAAGGCUUCAUCUCCACAAGACCUAAA
rnacentral:lncRNA from 10 species